UACGAAGGGGGCUAGCGUUGCUCGGAAUCACUGGGCGUAAAGCGCACGUAGGCGGAUCUUUAAGUCAGGGGUGAAAUCCUGGAGCUCAACUCCAGAACUGCCUUUGAUACUGGGGAUCUUGAGUCCGGGAGAGGUGAGUGGAACUGCGAGUGUAGAGGUGAAAUUCGUAGAUAUUGGGAAGAACACCGGUGGCGAAGGCGGCUAUCUGGACCGACAUUGACGCUGAGGCGCGAAAGCGUGGGGAGCAAACAGG
rnacentral:rRNA from 1 species